rnacentral:rRNA from 1 species
GACGAACGCUGGCGGCGUGCCUAAUACAUGCAAGUCGAACGCACUCUCGUUUAGAUUGAAGGAGCUUGCUCCUGAUUGAUAAACAUUUGAGUGAGUGGCGGACGGGUGAGUAACACGUGGGUAACCUGCCCUAAAGUGGGGGAUAACAUUUGGAAACAGGUGCUAAUACCGCAUAAAACCUAACACCGCAUGGUGUAGGGUUGAAAGAUGGUUUCGGCUAUCACUUUAGGAUGGACCCGCGGUGCAUUAGUUAGUUGGUGAGGUAAAGGCUCACCAAGACCGUGAUGCAUAGCCGACCUGAGAGGGUAAAUCGGCCACACUGGGACUGAGACACGGCCCAGACUCCUACGGGAGGCAGCAGUAGGGAAUCUUCCACAAUGGACGAAAGUCUGAUGGAGCAACGCCGCGUGAGUGAAGAAGGUUUUCGGAUCGUAAAACUCUGUUGUUGGAGAAGAAUGUAUCUGAUAGUAACUGAUCAGGUAGUGACGGUAUCCAACCAGAAAGCCACGG